UUGUAGCCUGCUAUGGUAUAACUUAGUGGCAGACGGGUGAGUAAUGUAUAGGAAUCUACCUAGUAGUACGGAAUAAUUGUUGGAAACGACAACUAAUACCGUAUACGCCCUACGGGGGAAAAAUUUAUUGCUAUUAGAUGAGCCUAUAUUAGAUUAGCUAGUUGGUGGGGUAAUAGCCUACCAAGGUAAUGAUCUAUAGCUGAUCUGAGAGGAUGAUCAGCCACACUGGAACUGAGAUACGGUCCAGACUCCUACGGGAGGCAGCAGUGGGGAAUAUUGGACAAUGGGCGAAACGUGAUCCAGCCAUGCCGCAUGAGUGAAGAAGGCCUUUGGGUUGUAAAGCUCUUUUAGUGAGGAAGAUAAUGACGGUACUCACAGAAGAAGUCCUGGCUAACUCCGUGCCAGCAGCCGCGGUAAUACGGAGAGGGCUAGCGUUAUUCGGAAUUAUUGGGCGUAAAGGGCGCGUAGGCUGGUUAAUAAGUUAAAAGUUAAAAGUGAAAUCCCGAGGCUUAACCUUGGAAUUGCUUUUAAAACUAUUAAUCUAGAGAUUCAAAGAGGAUAGAGGAAUUCCUGAUGUAGAGGUAAAAUUCGUAAAUAUUAGGAGGAACACAGUGGCGAAGGCGUCUAAUCUGGGUUCAAAUCUUAGCUCAAAGCGCUAAGGCGGGGGGUUGCCGCUGUUAGAUCCAGUUUCCGCUAUGAAACGAUGAUGUUAAAUAUGGGGGAGUUUACUUUCUGUAUUACAACGUAACGCGCUUAAACAUUCCUCCUGGGGACUACGGUAACGGCAAGAUUAAAACUCAAAGGAAUUGACGGGGACCGGCACAAGCGGUGGAGCAUGUGGUUUAAUUCGAUGCAACGCGAAAAACCAUU
rnacentral:rRNA from 1 species